AAAAGGAUUUCCCUUCUUUGACUAAAAGUCAGUGACUUUCGGUGGUAAGUUCCCAGCUCAGACUCUUGGCAGCUGGAUACUCUCUCUCUCCCUCUCUCUCUCUCCCUCUCCCUCUCUCUUAUCUUCUUGCCCUUUCUCUCUCUCUCUCUCUCUUUCAAGGAGGAAUUAUACAGCAACUGGGACCUUCCUACCAGGAACAUUCAGAUUGCUAGAGACGCUCUCUGGCGACAGGACUGGGCCCCUCGAGGCAUCGCAGACCCCAAAUCUCCUGGGCCUCUCUCUCUACUUCUGCUCAUGCCCCAAGGUCUCUCCCAGAUGCCUCCCCUCUCCUGCCGCCGCCACCGCUGCUGCCGCCAGUUGGGGUUCCUGGUGAUGUGAUUUUAUCUUGAUGCUCAGAAUCACAUUGCCAGGGAUUUCCAACCGUCGGUGAGCGAGAGAGACCACAAACAACUGACUUGGAUGGGAGGCAGCAGAGGCUCGCCAGCGGUUGUGGGAAGGUGAGAAGUCUGCCCAAAGCGUGGCAAAAGCGCCACCCGCCUCGUGCAUUGGCUGCUGUACCUGAGGAGUGGGGGGGGGCGCAUGCACUCAUGUGUGAGUGGGGGUUGGGGGCUUAAGCGAGGGGCACGGGGUUCACCAGGAAAGACCUCCUGACUGCAAAGGGUAGGGCUUAGCCCACCUGUGAACAGUGUUUGGUUCCAUCAUGUUCACAGUGGCUAAGUUCCGCCACUUGGAGUCCAUUCCCCCCACAUGCAGGCGCAGGCCACAUCCUCGUCCCUCGGCAAAGCCUCACCAAGAAGGGAUGCCAGGGGAACCAACCAGCCAGCGUACUCUACCUUUAAAGCACCCCCAAGAAUCCAGGGAACUGAAGUUUGCCGAGGGUGCUAGAAAUAGUAGCUCUCUGAAGGGUAAACUACAGAUCUCAGAAUUCUUAACUGGGAGGGGGGGAGAGGUAGGAAUGUACUAUGGUGUCUACCCCCUUGAGCAGCUGAUUCUGGACUUACUAGUUCAUGCUGUGAUUCCUGACAUGGUACCUAUGCUUGCUUUGGCACCCUCAGCCCCCCACUUGGAGCCUGACCCUCCCAAUGUCUAAUAGAUGUUUUUGGGAGGGCUUGGCGUGUGGGGGUAGCCUGUUUGUGGGUUUGCUUUGGUUUGCUUUACUUUUUUGGAGAGGGGGGGUAGGCAUUCCACCAGUUUGGAGCAGGGUAAUGGCCCUGAACUUCAUGAGUCUUUCUUCUGUUAAAUGGACGCAGUGAUACCUUGGUAGUCGAAUGGCUUAGUUGUCAAACAAAUCUGUUCCUGAACUUCGCAAACCUGGAAGUGAGCGUUCAUGUUUGCAAACGGUUUUGGGAAGCCGAAUGUCUGACGGGGCUUCCGUGGCUUCCAAUUGAGUGCGGGAGGCUCCUGCAGCCAAUCAGAAGCCGUGCCUUGGUUUUCAAACCGUUUCGGGAGUCGAACGGACUCCCGUAACAGAUUAAAUUCGAGAACCAAGGUACCACUGUAUUUGGUUGGUGCCUACAUUUCCUUAAGAUUUCCAAACAUGUCCCCCCGGGGCCAAAGAAGUUUGGAGACCCCCAGCCCUACUGAUUUGUCCUGAGCAAUUGAAUAUGUGACAAGCAGUGCCUGCUGUGUUUGCUCCUGUCUCUCCCCUGCCCCCCCCCCCCCGCGCUUCUUCAGAGUGGGGCCCUGGAAUCUGCCCCCAAAUCCUGCCUUAAGGGCACCACGGAAGACUCUGAUAUGGGACAGAAAAUGCAGGGUUGGGGGGGGGCGUUGAGAUAGAGAAGGUCUUGCUUGUACUGAGCUGGAGAGGGAAGGUGGGGCAGGGGCAGGUUAGAGGAGGGGCAUGGAGACCCCAGGGCCAGCUUCCUCCGUGGGGCUCUGCCUCCCGUGCCUACUGAGCUGAUACUCAGUUGCUUUAGAUAAACUGGCUCAGUUCAGCAGGAACAGGAGUCUUGCCCAGACCUUACGAAGAUUCAGCUGCUGGCUGGGGAACCCCCACACCUCUGAGGACGCAGGCAAUGGUCACAGCUGGAUUGUCAUCACCCCCAACAACACUGUGAAGGGGCACAGCCUGAGCUGCACAAGAAAACAGCUGCCUCUGCUGGAUGUCAGGAGUGCCUGGCCAAAACCUUCUCCCCUUCCCCACCAGACCUCAUACAACUUCACUGUUCCUCUGCAUCCCUCUGUGAGAGCAUCUGCGCCAUCUUUGGUGCACCCAUGUAAAUAAACACUUGCUGUUAAAACGGUUGUCGGCUCCUUGCUUGGAUUUCCGCCUGUUGAAUAGAAUGGAAGCAAAUAGUUUAAGGCAGAGAUUUUCACCCUUUUCGAGUCCACGGCUCCCUCGACCAACUACAGUGGUACCUCGACUUACGAAUGACUUGACAUACGAAUGUUUCGAGUUACGAAGAGAGCUCCACCCGCCAUUUUUGAUGUGGUUUAGAUAGGAUUUUUUUGACUUACGGGUUUUUUUUAUUUUUCUCCCCGUUGGCUUCAACUUAACGAUUUUUUUCAACUUACGAAGGUGCGUUCGGAACGGAUUAAAUUCGUAAGUCGAGGGACCACUGUACAUUCUUUCUGCAGCACCCCAGUGGGACUCAGGAGCCCAGUUCUGUCACCCCCUUGCCUGAAGAGCUGGCAGCCUCUCGCCCCUUUUCAAACACCCUCCUCUCCUCUCCCCUCUCCCUUUGGGAGUCCUCUGGGAAGCUGCUGCUGCCAUCCCUGGUCUCUGAACCUCCCCUGCCCCAAAGAGGGGUGCUUCCCAGAGGCACCAUUCGCCUGCAGAGCUUAUAGUCAGGGCUGCUGCAAUGAACAGCUGGGAGGCAGAGACGCCAGUCAAGC